rnacentral:rRNA from 1 species
AGAGUUUGAUCCUGGCUCAGAACGAACGCUGGCGGCAGGCUUAACACAUGCAAGUUGAACGUGAUUUGUUUGGUGCUUGCACCGAGCAAUGAAAGUAGCGCACUGGUGAGUAACACGUGGGAACGUACCUUUUGGUGGGGAACAACAGUUGGAAACGACUGCUAAUACCGCAUAAGCCCUGAGGGGGAAAGAUUUAUCGCCGAAAGAACGGCCCGCGGAAGAUUAGGUAGUUGGUGGGGUAACGGCCUACCAAGCCGACGAUCUAUAGCUGGUCUGAGAGGACGAUCAGCCACAUUGGAACUGAGACACGGUCCAAACUCCUACGGGAGGCAGCAGUGAGGAAUAUUGGGCAAUGGAGGCAACUCUGACCCAGCCAUGCCGCGUGAGUGAAGAAGGUUUUCGGAUUGUAAAGCUCUUUCGGGUGUGACGAUGAUGACGGUAGCACCUAAAGAAGCCCCGGCUAACUUCGUGCCAGCAGCCGCGGUAAUACGAAGGGGGCAAGCGUUGUUCGGAAUUACUGGGCGUAAAGGGAGUGUAGGCGGUUGAGUAAGAUAGUGGUGAAAUCCCAGAGCUUAACUUUGGAAUUGCCAUUAUGACUAUGUGGCUAGAAUUACAGAGAGGAUAGUGGAAUACCCAGUGUAGAGGUGAAAUUCGUAGAUAUUGGGUAGAACACCAGUGGCGAAGGCGACUAUCUGGCUGUAUAUUGACGCUGAGGCUCGAAAGCAUGGGGAUCAAACAGGAUUAGAUACCCUGGUAGUCCAUGCUGUAAACGAUGAGUGCUUGUUGUCGGUGUAAAAUCGGUGACGAAGUUAACGCGUUAAGCACUCCGCCUGGGGAGUACGGUCGCAAGAUUAAAACUCAAAGGAAUUGACGGGGACCCGCACAAGCGGUGGAUGAUGUGGAUUAAUUCGAUGCAACGCGAAAAACCUUACCUAGCCUUGACAUGUCAGGAAUGCUCCGGAGAUGGGGCAGUGCCCGCAAGGGAACCUGAGCACAGGUGCUGCAUGGCUGUCGUCAGCUCGUGUCGUGAGAUGUUGGGUUAAGUCCCGCAACG